ensembl:lncRNA LOC102549654 uncharacterized LOC102549654
CUCUCAGGGCUGCUCCAAGGAGUCAAUGAUGUAACAAGUGAAAUUUUCCUCAGCAUAUUAUCUCAUCAGCAUUUCCUUCCUUUCUGUGUAUUAAAGUAAUUGCUACAAUCAAACGAGGACCUUUAAUGCCAGGGUCUCUCGGAGAACCCGGAUUUUGGGUUUUGUUGAGUCAGCGAACCAAGGAGCGCUGCCUGUCUCCACAAGCUCCACCCCUCCCCUCCACACCCCAGUCCAGUGCUGCAGUUACAAACACGCCACAAGGUCUGGCUUUCUACACGGGUGCCCGGGAUCUGACCUCGGGUCCUCAGCUCUUCCUGCUUUCAAGGCGUUAAGGUACAAAGACUAAAUAAACACUCAUCACGACCCUCGAGGAUACAACAGACUAACGGAGGAGGCAGAUGAAGCCAGUGCAGGAUGCCUAGAUGGUCUUUGAAGACCCCUGUGAGGCCGUCAUUUGACCGGCCCCCUCAAAGGGUCACAACUCAAACUGCUGUCCUAACAGACCAUUUAAUUGGUUAGCCAUCUCACCCCGGGCUUGCCUUGCCCCUCCUUGGAUGACUCACAGAACCUUACUCAAAUGUAACCUGAGGAGAGCAAUCAAGAGUUGCUACAGUAGAGGACUAAGCACUGGUCUUAGUUUGCAUUAAGGUGCCAAAGCUUAAAAGAAAUGAAGUCUCCACUUUAUAUCUUUUCUUUAUGUCUCUUGUGGGGAGAACUCCACCAAUUUCGUUCUGUACAAUUACAUGCAAACACAUCAUUUGUAACUAAUGAGUUAAGGGAGUGCCUUGCACUGGUGUUGGUUUUGCCUGUAGUGGGACUAGAAGCACUUAUACAAGUGUCUGUACACGGAACAUUUAAAAACAUCCUAACAGCCUUCAUUUUUACAUCUCUUAGACAUAAGAUUGACCUCUAUUACCUGCUCUCUGGUUGUCGGUUAAAUCUUCCUUCUACCCAGAUCCUCAUUUUAAUCAUCCGACUCCCUUACCCUCUUUGGGCGACUCUCUCUAAUGCCAACUCGAGCUGCC